rnacentral:rRNA from 1 species
CCUACGGGAGGCAGCAGUGAGGAAUCUUCCACAAUGGGCGAAAGCCUGAUGGAGCAAUGCCGCGUGCAGGAUGACGGCCUUCGGGUUGUAAACUGCUUUUAUAUGGGAAGAUUAUGACGGUACCAUAUGAAUAAGGACCGGCUAACUACGUGCCAGCAGCCGCGGUAAUACGUAGGGUCCAAGCGUUAUCCGGAAUCACUGGGCGUAAAGCGUUUGUAGGCGGAAAUCUAAGUGAGAUGCGAAAUCUUGUGGCUCAACCAUAUAGACGGUAUCUCAUACUGGGUUUCUAGAAGAUAGCAGAGGUAAGUGGAAUUAGUAGUGUAGCGGUAAAAUGCGUAGAUAUUACUAGGAACACCAAUGGCGAAGGCAGCUUACUGGGCUAUAUUUGACGCUGAGAAACGAAAGCGUGGGGAGCGAACAGGAUUAGAUACCCUGGUAGUCCACGCCGUAAACGAUGUGUGCUAUUAGUUCGAGGUAUCGACCCCUUGGGCUGAACAGCUAACGCGUUAAGCACACCGCCUGGGGGAGGUACGAGNGCGAGACGUAAACUAACUAAGUUAAGUUAGUAGAGNGNGAGNGCGACGACGACGACGAGGAGGAGGAG